rnacentral:rRNA from 2 species
UUCGGCGGUCAUACCGGCGGGGAAACACCUCUUCCCAUUCCGAACAGAGAAGUUAAGCUCGCCAGGGCCGAUGGUACUCGGAGGGCAACCUCCCGGGAGAGUAGGUCGCCGCCGAUU